rnacentral:lncRNA from 1 species
CUUGGGCCCUAGGCUUCCUUUGGUCUUUGGUUUCUUUACACCUCAUGAAACAGAAAGACUGUAUUUUACUAUAGUGUCCCACUGUUUGGGACUCUUUGGUUUGUUCAAAUUUCAGUGAAACAACUGACUUUUAAACAUAUCAGAAUAAUUUGGGGUUUCUUAAAUUCAUAGGCUUCUGUCUUUGCCCAUGAGUGUCACUGAGCACUCCCUGCUCCGGCUGCCAUUAGACCACUGGUCAAGAAACUCCUUCCCGAGGGACUUCUGUGAGAUCUGUGUCAACGUGAACAUGGGAUCUCCCUCCAUCUUCUCCCUCUUCCUAAACAAUUUAAAAAGUGUUCAUAUCAAGUUCUGACUGUCUCUAGAAUAGCAUUGUGGGGAAACAACUGUCUACGAGGUUUAACCAAGAACAUGAUAGUUACGGAUGAUCUCCAGGAAUGUGUGGCUGGAUAACGGCAUGGAAUGAACCUCAUGUGUUUGGAUUUCGGUAAAUUCCAGCCAAGUGCAAUAAGGCUUGAGUUACAGCCCAAGCUAGUAGGUUAUUUUAAAUAAUUAAGGAGUUCAAAUUUACUUCUCUCCCUAAAUGGCAGGUUUAAGGGAGGUUUAAUUAAAAUUUACAUUUUUCAUUAUUGUUA